AAUAUUGGUCAAUGGAGGCAACUCUGAACCAGCCAUGCCGCGUGCAGGAUGACGGUCCUAUGGAUUGUAAACUGCUUUUGUACAGGAAGAAAAAGAGCUACGAGUAGCUUAUUGACGUUACUGUAAGAACAAGGAUCGGCAAACUCCAUGACAGAAGCCGCGGUAAUAUGGAGGAUACAAGCGUUAUCCGGAAUCAUUGGGUUUAAAGGGGCCGUAAGCGGCCUUAUAAGUCAGCAGUGGAAGUUUUUGGCUUAACCAAAAAAUUGCCGUUGAUAAUGUAGAGCUUGAAUUUUUGUGAAGUGACUAGAAUAUGUAGUGUAGCGGUGAAAUGCUUAGAUAUUACAUGGAAUACCAAUUGCGAAAGCAGGUUACUAACAAACGAUUGACGCUGAUGGACGAAAGCGUGGGUAGCGAACA
rnacentral:rRNA from 1 species